UACGUAGGGGGCAAGCGUUGUCCGGAUUUAUUGGGCGUAAAGAGCGUGUAGGCGGCCAGACAGGUCAGCUGUGAAAACUCGAGGCUCAACCUCGAGACGUCGGUUGAAACCGUCUGGCUAGAGUCCGGAAGAGGAGAGUGGAAUUCCCGGGUGUAGCGGUGAAAUGCGCAGAUAUCGGGAAGAACACCCGUGGCGAAGGCGGCUCUCUGGGACGGUACUGACGCGUGAGACGCGAAAGCGUGGGGAGCGAACGAGG
rnacentral:rRNA from 1 species